rnacentral:lncRNA from 1 species
UGUUUAUUUUCUUACUAGUACUCGAAUUCAUGGAUUAGGUUUACAAUCUGAAUUUGGAAUUAAGAUAGUAGUAUAAUUUAACAUGUUGGACUUGAAAUUGACUUAGGAGAAAACUAUUAGAUUCUAUACUGUCACUUUCUGAAAACUACCAGAUUUAGUUUUAGGAGCUGUGGUUUGUUUGUAUCGUCGCAGUUUGUACGCGGUGGAUACUCAGAUUAGUGUAGGAUGAAUUUAUGCUCAUGUUGGGAUGUCGAGUUUAUUUUAUAGUAGUGUGUAGACUGUUUUGGACUGUCGGGUGCCGUUACGGUUGACGGUGGACCCAGAUUGCUGUUUUUUGCAUCGGAUUGUGCCAAUGGCACGUGAGAGUUGGUUUUUAGACCAGUUAGACCCAUUUACUUUGAUUAUUGCCUGUAAGAGCCUGAUCGAGCUCGGCAGAGACACGCUUGCAUACU